CAAAGUGGCCAAGAGAAAAAAAAGAGCGCAUCGCGCGAAUACCUUCGAUCGCAGGUUUUAGCAUAUGUUACACGGGUACGGACGCGCGUAAACGUUAUUCGAUUGUCGUCCGUAAAUUUGUUUUUGUUCAUCUCUAUAUAGUACCUCGUACUCGUGCGAAACAAAAACUGCCGAUGACCAAGUGACACCAAUACUAAUUAUCCAUCACGACGUUUAAUUGCAGAUCCACAAGAUUUGGAACCUGAUAAUUUGAUUGAUUUGGUAUUCGGAGUUCUGAUAUACGACACUGUGUAUGAAUAAUGCAAAUGGUGAAUCAACGUUCUAAAAGAAGUGGUGUAGAGUAAAAAAAUAAAGUCUCAAGACAUUCA